UCUACCAUACGCUUUCCUUUCCUGAAACCUGAACUAUCAUACGCUUCUUCUUCUUCUUCUUCUACCUGCAUCUCAUUCUCUCUGAAUCGCUUGUGCUUGAACGGAUUAACAAAGGAUUCCAAAAUCAAGGUUAUUCACUUCCAGAUUCAUCCAGAUAAGACCCAGUGCCUGUGCGCUUUUCAACCUCAGAACCUGGCAAACAUGCAGCCAAGCUAGAGAAAAGAACAAUUUAGUUAACCAUAGAAAGUUAUGAGAGGGGUGACCCAAUUGAAUUCGAGCUUGGUACUGGCUAGGUGAUAAAUGUAUGUAGUGAUUUUGACUAAUCUAACCCUGGUGGAUUCAACACUUUGACACCUUUAAGAAGGUCGCCAAGCAACAAAGAAGGGGCAAGAAUAUGUUAGAGAUAUGUGGUAACAUUGUAAGUUUCUUUCGCAUGGGAUUAUCUGGAAUUUAUUUUUUUAUAUUGGUAAAACGAAAAUCAUCGAUGUCAUGUGUCUACAUUUGCGAGGCGAUGGUGGUUAGGGUUCUCGUGGUGAUUCCGGUAAGAAGGAUCUUCCGGUAUGAUUUUUGAAUGAGCAAUUACGAGACGAUUCUCCAAUAUAGGGGCUGCAGAGACCGCUAGCGGCGGAAUUUGUGAGCGUUUCGCGUGAAAGCAAGAUUUCUUUCAUCCAGAUUGAGUUUGGAUGAGUUUUAUUUGGCUAGCAUUUUGUCGAACACCUUCCAUAGAAUUGGUGGGAUUUUAUGAGGUUUGAGACACCAAACAACAGACAACACGAUUGUAUGUUCGUCUACGGCUCUAUGGAUUAUAGCGAGGUUUAAGAUCCCUUGAUGGUGGAUCCUGGCCAGAUCUGUGGGUAUGAAGGGAAGUGGCAGAUGUCCACUGACUGUUGGCGGGGGUGGUGGUAGAUGGUAAUAGAAAACAACAACCUGGACAAAUGUAGUGAGUGUUCCAACGUAUUUUGGUUUCUUGAUUAUGAAUGAUUUCUGAGUGUUAAAGAAGUUAUGAGAGGGGUGACCCAAUUGACUUCGAGCUUGGUACUGACUAGGUGAUAAAUGAAAUCUGUUGGAUAGACAUAUAAAUCAGCCAGACCUCGGGGAUUGAACGUGUUGGGUGAGUAAAUCAACAUGUUUUAGUAAUCAACCCAACUUAAGAAGCCAACGGAAAAAAGGAUGCUGGGACAUGAUAGAGAAUAGAGAUCAGGCAAAAUUUUACAGACAAGUUUAAUAUGGAUUUGCUUAUGGAAAUUUCAUACGCAGAGGUGAUAGAACAUCCGUGGUUUUUCUAAUUAAUUGAUAGGAGCUAGGUGUGAGCAUCACCCUUUCAACCCCCUGAUUUUAACGAGAAUUCACAAGUUGGGGAGUUGUUCAAAGGCAUUUGUCGUCUUUUAUACGAGGUCUGUGCUUCCCAACAACUUCAAGGUGGUGCUUGCUUCGUACAUCAAGAUCGUAGAAAAUGAUCUUUUCAAAAAGGAUUGGAGGUCAAGGAAGAAGGUGCAGAUAUUUGAAUAUGUCGUCUUAAAGUGGACAUUAGUGCUUCUUAUAGGAUUAGCUACUUGGCCCGCGGGGUUUUUCAAUAACAUUGCAGUGGAAAACAUUAAGACGGGCCCCGGUUGUUCUAUAGAGCUGAUGAAGUUUGACAUGGGUGGUUCAGCAGCGGUGUUAGGCGCUGCAAAAGCCGUUGGUCAAAUUAAACCCUCUGGAGUAGAGCUUUGGUACGGAAGGAGAUUCAAGAUGAAACAGACAGAAUCACGGGGAAGUCUAAACAAAUAUCUCCAAUUCCAAUCCAUCUCAUCAUCUAUUCCCCCAACGUUGUAUCUUUAACUUUAAUCGACUUACCAGGAUUGACCAAAGUUGCAGUUGAGGGACAACUUGAAUCUAUAGUUGAAGACAUUGAAAAGAUGGUUCGAACUUACGUUGAGAAGGUUAGGCGUUUCGCCAUAUUGUGCCUCUUCGACUCCAGCUGGUGCCUACACAAAGAAGAAUAUGAAUUCAGAAAGUAUGUGUCCAGCAGGCUGGUCUUCGUGCAUAACUGAGGGCUUUUGUGGUGAGUGAUCCAUGCUGUGAUUAUUUCAGACAAAAAAUGAGUGAACGAUGAAGACUGCUUCUCAAGUUCUCAUUAUAUAGAAGAACACAACUGCAGCAGAAAAACUACUCAGAACGUGGGAUGGUGUUGUUCGAGUUCAAGGAACAUGGACAGAAAAACAUGCUUGCUGCAAGUAACCGCUCAGAACUGCCAAGACAGCGGUUAAAAUUAAGAGUUUACACGGCCCAGAUUUAAUCUAAG